rnacentral:rRNA from 1 species
CCUACGGGGGGCUGCAGUGGGGAAUAUUGGACAAUGGGGGCAACCCUGAUCCAGCCAUGCCGCGUGUGUGAAGAAGGCCCUCGGGUUGUAAAGCACUUUCAGUGAGGAAGAACGCCUGGUGGUUAAUACCCAUCAGGAAAGACAUCACUCACAGAAGAAGCACCGGCUAACUCCGUGCCAGCAGCCGCGGUAAUACGGAGGGUGCGAGCGUUAAUCGGAAUUACUGGGCGUAAAGCGCGCGUAGGUGGCUUGAUAAGCCGGUUGUGAAAGCCCCGGGCUCAACCUGGGAACGGCAUCCGGAACUAUCAAGCUAGAGUGCAGGAGAGGAAGGUAGAAUUCCCGGUGUAGCGGUGAAAUGCGUAGAGAUCGGGAGGAAUACCAGUGGCGAAGGCGGCCUUCUGGACUGACACUGACACUGAGGUGCGAAAGCGUGGGUAGCAAACAGGAUUAGAUACCCGUGUAGUC